rnacentral:rRNA from 1 species
UACAGAGGUCCCAAGCGUUGUUCGGAUUCACUGGGCGUAAAGGGUGCGUAGGUGGCGGGGUAAGUUUGAUGUGAAAUCUCCGAGCUCAACUCGGAAACUGCAUUGAAUACUAUCCUGCUAGAGGGUUGGAGGGGAGACUGGAAUUCUCGGUGUAGCAGUGAAAUGCGUAGAUAUCGAGAGGAACACCAGUGGCGAAGGCGAGUCUCUGGACAACUCCUGACACUGAGGCACGAAAGCUAGGGGAGCAAACAGG